rnacentral:sRNA from 1 species
AGCAGCCGCGGUAAUUCCAGCUCCAAUAGCGUAUAUUAAAGUUGUUGCAGUUAAAAAGCUCGUAGUUGAAUUUCGGGAUUAAUUUACUGGUCGUGCUAUUGUACGUACUGGUUUUAUUGAUUCCUCCCUUCUGACGAACUAUGAUGUCAUUAAUUUGGUGUCAUAGGGAAUCAGGACUGUUACUUUGAAAAAAUUAGAGUGUUUAAAGCAGGCUCACGCUUGAAUACAUUAGCAUGGAAUAACGGAAUAGGACGUUUGAUUCUAUUUUGUUGGUCUCUAGGAUCGACGUAAUGAUUAAUAGGGAUAGUUGGGGGCAUUAGUAUUCAAUUGUCAGAGGUGAAAUUCUUGGAUUUAUUGAAGACUAACUACUGCGAAAGCAUUUGCCAAGGAUGUUUUCAUUAAUCAAGAACGAAAGUUAGGGGAUCGAAGACGAUCAGAUACCGUCGUAGUCUUAACCAUAAACUAUGCCGACUAGGGAUCGGAUGAUGUUAAUUUUUUAAUGACUCAUUCGGCGCCUUAC